CCAAGAUGUCACUAAACUGUUGGGGGUUUGCAUCCUUGGUAGGGUAGCUAACGCGUGAAGUUGACCGCCUGGGGAGAACGGCCGCAAGGUUAAAACUCAAAGGAAUUGACGGGGACCCGCACAAGCGGUGGAUGAUGUGGAUUAAUUCGAUGCAACGCGAAAAAACUUACCUGCUCUUGACAUGUACGGAACUUGCCAGAGAUGGCUUGGUGCCCGAAAGGGAGCCGUAACACAGGUGCUGCAUGGCUGUCGUCAGCUCGUGUCGUGAGAUGUUGGGUUAAGUCCCGCAACGAGCGCAACCCUUGUCAUUAGUUGCCAUCAUUCAGUUGGGCACUCUAAUGAGACUGCCGGUGACAAACCGGAGGAAGGUGGGGAUGACGUCAAGUCCUCAUGGCCCUUAUGAGCAGGGCUUCACACGUCAUACAAUGGUCGGUACAGAGGGUUGCCAAGCCGCGAGGUGGAGCUAAUCUCACAAAACCGAUCGUAGUCCGGAUCGCACUCUGCAACUCGAGUGCGUGAAGUCGGAAUCGCUAGUAAUCGCAGAUCACCAUGCUGCGGUGAAUACGUUCCCGGGUCUUGUACACACCGCCCGUCACACCAUGGGAGAGAGUUUCACCAGAAGUGGGUAGGCUAACCGCAAGGAGGCCGCUUACCACGGUGGGAUUCAUGACUGGGGGUGAAGUCGUAACAAGGUAACCGCGCGGGUUUCUUUCCCCGCGCUUUGCCCGAAGAAGCGGAGU
rnacentral:rRNA from 1 species